AUCCAGCUGAUGAGUUUCAGAUAGGAAGAAACGCUCUUCCUGGAU
rnacentral:hammerhead_ribozyme from 1 species